AUGAUGGAACGAUCCCCAACCCUAUACCCUCGACACCCACCUUAGCAACCCGUACACUAAGGAGAAGUCCUUACCUGCUUUACGGACUACUGUAGGUAGCCUAUACACAGCCAAGACAGACAGAUAAAUGAGGUCAGAGACCGACUAAAGCAGCACCGCCCCCUCAAGAUUCUGAGCCUGCCUGGUAGGGUUGGUCCUGCAAAGCCAAAGCCCCCUGAUGGGAGAGCAUAAUAUACAAGGAAUUUCUCAAAGCUGCUAAUGAGAACCUUGACGACCUUGUACCUAGCCGGUGUGGAGCCCCCACCAAGGCAGUAGCAGUGCUGGAAACACAGUAACCCAUGAGGAGGGGGGGUCACACUCGGACAAUCAGAGAGGGGGAAAAUUAUUGCGGUCUGACUGACCAGUGUGUGUGUGUUUCAGGGGAAGAGGAUGUAUCUGAGCUCCAUCAGCUAGGACUUAAAAUUGGUUAAUCAAAUCUCAUAAUCAAUUUCGCAUGCCUUUUCAAACAGCUACAAAUGUAUAUGUAACAGUAUAGCUUCCGUCCCUCUCCUCGCCCGUACCUGGGUUCAAAUCAGGGACCCUCUGCACACAUCGACAACAGCCACCCUUGAAGCAUCGUUACCCAUCACUCCAAGGGGAACAACUACUUCAAGGUCUCCGAGCGAGUGACGUCACCGAUUGAAACGCUAUUAGCGCGCACCCCACCUACUAGCUAGCCAUUUGACAUCGGUUACAUAUAUGCAUUCGCACAUCAAGUCCUUUCUUGAGUUGGGCUCAGAUAUGGAACAACUUGAACAUCUGAGCUUGUGGUUGUUUGUGGGGGAAGGGUUGGAGUGUGUGUGUGUGUGUGUGUAGCCCACAUCUGUUGCUAGGGGGUAAGAAUGUUAGGGACAAUAUAGAAUGAAUCACAAUAAUUGCUUGCCAAAAAUGUAAUUUCAUUAAUGGCAAUCCUGGUUAUAGGUAGGUAACAAUCCUGGUUAUAGGUAGGUAACAAUCCUGGUUAUAGGUAGGUAACAAUCCUGGUUAUAGGUAGGUAACAAUCCUGGUUAUAGGUAGGUAACAAUCCUGGUUAUAGGUAGGUAACAAUCCUGGUUAUAGGUAGGUAACAAUCCUGGUUAUAGGUAGGUAACAAUCCUGGUUAUAGGUAGGUAACAAUCCUGGUUAUAGGUAGGUAACAAUCCUGGUUAUAGGUAGGUAACAAUCCUUUGCAUGAACUGCCUACAUUACUACGCAUAUUAAUUGUUUAUUGCGGAAAUUAAGAUAACAAAUCCAAAUAUAUUUUAGAUUUUGGAUUAUUCAAAGUAGCCACCCUUUGCCUUGAUGACAGCACUGCAAACUCUUGGCAUUUUCUCAAACACUUCAUGAGUUAGUCAACUGGAAUUUAUUUCAAUUAACAGGUGUACCGUGUUAAAAGUUAAUUUGUGGAAUUUCUUUCCUUAAUGCAUUUGAGCCAAUCAGUUGCGUUAUGACAAGGUAGGGGUGGUAUACAGAAGA